rnacentral:lncRNA from 1 species
CCGAAAUAAUUAGGUGUCAUGUGGAAGCUAACAAGGCGAACCUCGAAAGACCACGAGUAAGUAGACAAACAAGAAAUAUACCAAAAGACACAAAAAUUUAACGUGAUUCGAUCAAUUAACCUACGUCCACAAAGGAGAUGAGCAAUCCGCUAUAGAUUUAUGAGUACAAAAUUUAGAGAGAAAUAACUUCAUCCAAUUCACUCGGAAUACAAAGAGG